CCCUGUGUCAAGCAUCCCAGCCCAUUCCUAGUGUUGUUACCUUGUUUGUUUGUUUUUUUUUUACCUGUUUCAUGGAUUUUGGAUAUUGCCUGCUCCCUGUCAGAUUUGUUUGACUUCAUUGGACUGCUUCUCUGGUUUUGACCUCUACCCCAUCUUUCCCCUGCUUGGAGAUGUCCGCAUCAGGUGAACUAGGCAAACUGAGCCUUGCUGGUGACGUCAUGACCGUUCAAGAAGCCCUUCUUCCCACUUCAUCGCCAUGCAGCCUGUCGCCUUCAUCUGUUUGACAAUCAGCCACCUGCUCACUGGCUCCGACGCAGUUAGACUCCAACCAGGACAAAAUUGCAUCACUGGCAAAAUCAUGUGUUUUUGUGGGAUUCGGGGGGUUGCCUAGCAACAGGAUCUUCCUACCUGUAGUUCAAAAACAGCCACCCCUACAGUAAUCCGGAUCCACACUGUAGAGAUGUCAGGUGACGGUAGGACUUUACCACCUUGAGGAGACCGUGUUGGGGCCCUUGUUUGAACAUUUGAAUGUGUUUGUAUGUGGAGAGAACCUGCAAGCUCAAACUUCGAUCACCUCAGUCCCGGAGAAAUCAGCCUGAAAGUUUACCAGCCAAUUGGGAUUUCUCCUGACUACCACUCUACAGUGAAACAUACAAUACAGUAUACUAAUAAAGAUAAUAUCAUCCCUAUUCUGUUCUCUCUUCAUUGGU